rnacentral:lncRNA from 1 species
AGGAGACUCAUAACUAAGCGAGGAAACAGGAAGUGUAUCUCUUUUCCCCUCCGCUCCUGCCUCAGCUGCACGAUGUGAUCCACCGGCAAAGAGGGAUGCCAAUAAGGCAUCUGAUAAGGUCUGGAAUGAAGAUGCUUGGCAGCCUAGUCUUCAUCCUUCUAUGAGAAAUGUAGGCAACACUGGGAAAAUUGCUGGAUAUUUCCAGAUGUGUGUGAAAAGAGAGAACAUGGAGGAAAUCACUGCCCAAACCUGAGGCACAAAGAGACAUCUGAUUCAGAGAAUUAUAAAACACAUUUACAAUCACUGUAUCCCAACCUACACAACUGGCAGAAGGCGUCUUUCCCACCAGAGGAAAGGCCAGCUCCCUCAACCCAAGAGAGAUGGCAAAGACUAUUUCUGCCAUCAGGGAAAAAUAUAUCUGCCUUCACAAAUAUUUAA